rnacentral:rRNA from 1 species
UGCAAGUCGAACGAACCUUCGGGUUAGUGGCGGACGGGUGAGUAACGCGUGAGAAUCUGCCCUCAGGAGGGGGAUAACGGCUGGAAACGGCCGCUAAUACCCCAUAUGCCGAGAGGUGAAAUGAAUUUCGCCUGAGGAUGAGCUCGCGUCUGAUUAGCUAGUUGGUGGGGUAAGAGCCUACCAAGGCUUCGAUCAGUAGCUGGUCUGAGAGGAUGAUCAGCCACACUGGGACUGAGACACGGCCCAGACUCCUACGGGAGGCAGCAGUGGGGAAUUUUCCGCAAUGGGCGAAAGCCUGACGGAGCAACGCCGCGUGAGGGAUGAAGGCCUCUGGGCUGUAAACCUCUUUUCUCAAGGAAGAAGAUCUGACGGUACUUGAGGAAUAAGCCACGGCUAAUUCCGUGCCAGCAGCCGCGGUAAUACGGGAGUGGCAAGCGUUAUCCGGAAUUAUUGGGCGUAAAGCGUCCGCAGGCGGCCUCGUAAGUCUGUCGUUAAAGCGUGGAGCUUAACUCCAUUUCAGCGAUGGAAACUGCGAGGCUAGAGUGUGGUAGGGGCAGAGGGAAUUCCCGGUGUAGCGGUGAAAUGCGUAGAUAUCGGGAAGAACACCAGUGGCGAAGGCGCUCUGCUGGGCCAUAACUGACGCUCAUGGACGAAAGCCAGGGGAGCGAAAGGGAUUAGAUACCCCUGUAGUCCUGGCCGUAAACGAUGAACACUAGGUGUCGGGGGAAUCGACCCCCUCGGUGUCGUAGCCAACGCGUUAAGUGUUCCGCCUGGGGAGUACGCACGCA